rnacentral:rRNA from 1 species
GGGGAAUAUUGCACAAUGGGGGAAACCCUGAUGCAGCGACGCCGCGUGAGCGAAGAAGUAUUUCGGUAUGUAAAGCUCUAUCAGCAGGGAAGAAAAUGACGGUACCUGACUAAGAAGCACCGGCUAAAUACGUGCCAGCAGCCGCGGUAAUACGUAUGGAGCAAGCGUUAUCCGGAUUUACUGGGUGUAAAGGGUGCGUAGGUGGCAGUGCAAGUCAGAUGUGAAAGGCCGGGGCUCAACCCCGGAGCUGCAUUUGAAACUGCUCGGCUAGAGUACAGGAGAGGCAGGCGGAAUUCCUAGUGUAGCGGUGAAAUGCGUAGAUAUUAGGAGGAACACCAGUGGCGAAGGCGGCCUGCUGGACUGUUACUGACACUGAGGCACGAAAGUGUGGGGAGCAAACAGGAUUAGAUACCCUGGUAGUCCACACCGUAAACGAUGGAUACUAGGUGUAGGAGGUAUCGACCCCUUCUGUGCCGCAGUUAACACAAUAAGUAUCCCACCUGGGGAGUACGACCGCAAGGUUGAAACUCAAAGGAAUUGACGGGGGCCCGCACAAGCAGUGGAGUAUGUGGUUUAAUUCGAAGCAACGCGAAGGACCUUACCAAGUCUUGACAUCCUUCUGACCGGUACUUAAUCGUACCUUCUCUUCGGAGCAGGAGUGACAGGUGGUGCAUGGUUGUCGUCAGCUCGUGUCGUGAGAUGUUGGGUUAAGUCCCGCAACGAGCGCAACCCUUAUCUUUAGUAGCCAGCGGUUCGGCCGGGCACUCUAGAGAGACUGCCAGGGAUAACCUGGAGGAAGGCGGGGAUGACGUCAAAUCAUCAUGCCCCUUAUGACUUGGGCUACACACGUGCUACAAUGGCGUAAACAAAGGGAAGCAAAGCUGUGAAGCCGAGCAAAUCUCAAAAAUAACGUCUCAGUUCGGACUGUAGUCUGCAACCCGACUACACGAAGCUGGAAUCGCUAGUAAUCGCAGAUCAGAAUGCUGCGGUGAAUACGUUCCCG